AGCGAACGCUGGCGGCGUGCCUAACACAUGCAAGUCGAACGUGAAAAGGGAAACCUGAGUUAAGUGGCGUACGGGUGAGUAACGCGUAGGUAAUCUACCCCAGAAUCUGGAAUAACCUGCCGAAAGGCGGGCUAAUACUGGAUAGAGCGAGGGAACUCGUAAGAGAGUUUUUCGGGAAAGGGAGCCCGCAAGGGCCUUCGUUCUGGGAUGAGCCUGCGUCUCAUUAGCUAGUUGGUAAGGUAACGGCUUACCAAGGCGAUGAUGAGUAGCUGGUCUGAGAGGAUGAUCAGCCACACUGGAACUGAAACACGGUCCAGACUCCUACGGGAGGCAGCAGUGGGGAAUCUUGCGCAAUGGACGAAAGUCUGACGCAGCCACGCCGCGUGAGUGAAGAAGGCCUUCGGGUUGUAAAGCUCUGUCGGAUGGGACGAACAUCUUCAUAGUGAAUAGCUAUGAGGACUGACGGUACCAUCAAAGGAAGCACCGGCUAACUCCGUG
rnacentral:rRNA from 1 species